rnacentral:rRNA from 1 species
UACAGAGGGUGCAAGCGUUGUUCGGAAUUACUGGGCGUAAAGGGCGCGUAGGCGGUUUAGCAAGUCAGAUGUGAAAUCCCGGGGCUUAACUCCGGAAGUGCAUUUGAAACUGCUAGGCUAGAGUGCUGUAGAGGAUGGCGGAAUACCCAGUGGAGAGGUGAAAUUCGUAGAUAUCGAGAGGAACACCGGUGGCGAAGGCGGCCUUCUGGACAGUGACUGACGCUGAGACGCGAAAGCGUGGGGAGCAAACAGG